CGGGCACUAGCUCAGUGGUGGAGCUCCCGAUUCACAUGCGGGAAGACCUGGGUUCGAUUCCCGGCUGCUUAC
rnacentral:tRNA from 1 species